CUGGCUUCAAGUGAGAGCCUCCUGCCUUGGCCUCCGAAAGUGCUGGAAUUACAGGCCCACUAUUCCACAGGGAAGGUCAGCGCUUCCUUCACCUCCACCGCGAUGGUCCCGGAGACCACACAUGAAGCAGCUGCCAUCGACGAGGAUGUGCUGCGCUACCAGUUUGUGAAGAAGAAGGGCUACGUGCGGCUGCACACCAACAAGGGCGACCUCAACCUGGAGCUGCACUGCGACCUGACACCAAAAACCUGCGAAAACUUCAUCAGGCUUUGCAAGAAGCAUUAUUACGAUGGCACCAUCUUCCACAGAUCCAUCCGGAACUUUGUGAUCCAAGGGGGCGACCCCACAGGCACAGGCACGGGUGGGGAGUCAUACUGGGGGAAGCCCUUCAAAGAUGAGUUCCGGCCCAACCUCUCACACACGGGCCGCGGCAUCCUCAGCAUGGCCAACUCCGGGCCCAACAGCAACAAGUCUCAAUUCUUCAUCACGUUUCGCUCCUGUGCCUACCUGGACAAGAAGCACACCAUCUUUGGACGGGUUGUUGGGGGCUUUGACGUACUGACAGCCAUGGAGAAUGUGGAGAGUGACCCCAAAACUGACCGCCCUAAGGAGGAGAUCCGCAUUGAUGCCACUACAGUGUUCGUGGACCCCUAUGAGGAGGCCGAUGCCCAGAUCGCGCAGGAGCGGAAGACACAGCUCAAGGUAGCCCCGGAGACCAAAGUGAAGAGCAGCCAGCCCCAGGCAGGGAGCCAGGGCCCCCAGACCUUCCGCCAGGGCGUGGGCAAGUACAUCAACCCAGCAGCCACGAAGCGAGCGGCAGAGGAAGAGCCCUCAACCAGUGCCACUGUCCCCAUGUCCAAGAAGAAGCCCAGUCGGGGUUUUGGGGACUUCAGCUCCUGGUAGCAGCAGGCUGCCUGAUGACCGCUAGAGGUAUGUCUGCCCCUCGUCACCCUGCUGCACACCAAUCUGUGGCCCUUCAUCAUGCUAAGAACAAGAACUGCGCCGUGGCUGGCUCCUUCUCUUCUCCAGCCCAUCCCUCUGCAGCCUGUCAUCCCUGUCUGUGACCAUUGGUCGGGCCCCUGGGCUCUAGGGUGACUUUUGACGCCCUCCAUCCCUCCCGCCAGGCACUGUCCUCCGCAAGGCCUGGUGCAGCCCUGGCAGUAACUGGCUUGUAAGAGGCUCAGACACCAAGCUGGGCCUGCAGAGGAGGGGCACAGUAGGACACAGUGACUGCCCAGGUGUCCACACACCUGUAGGCCUCUGAGCCAGCGUCCAGGGUACAGGUGCGGGUGGUGGGGAUGAAGGCCUGACCAGGGAGGGAGAAGCAGGUUUGGAGAGGACCCUGUGCCCACCCUGACAGACACCCUGGCUGGCCCUGACUGACUGUAUUCUCUGGCCACAUUCAAAUCCCCCAUUGGUGGGGGCAGAGAAGUAGGACCAGGCCGCCCUUGGCUCCAGAGCUCGAAGACCCCAAGACAGCCCUGUGCUCUCAGCGGCGCCACAGAGAGCCUGGGCUCAGCCUUCUGCAUCAGGACAUGGCCUCGUCCACUAAGGGCACGAUUUAAACAUUUGACAUCAGAAGCUUUAUUUGUAAACCUCACACAGAUAAGGACCAAGGGCUGGCGGUGUGGCUAGAGGACAGGGGAAGCUGAAGGCCCCGUGCUUGAGCUCGGCAGUCCUGCUCCUUGCAGUGAAGCCACCGUGGGUGACCGUCCAGCCUCACCCGGUGGCCUGCACAGUGAGGGAAGGGCUUCAGGGCCAUCUGCUCCCAGGGCAGGGGACAGGCCACCAAGGACCUUUGGCAAAUGAAGGUUUACAUUUCUGUAGUUUGUUUGUUUUAGAGCUUAAUUUGUAGUUUUUUAGCUAUUAAAACCAUUUGAAUUUUUAAUGACCUGAUGAGGGCAUCAGGUAAAUUAAAGGAUUUUG
rnacentral:sRNA from 1 species